GCUCUGCCUGAACUGCUGUCCAAUUGGUUUACAAGUCCGGCUGAAGUGACAGGCCAUCAAAAACUGCACAGUAUGACUGAUUCGGAGACGGCCCUCAACACUCGCCCAGUCGUGUCGAGAGGAUCGGUGUCUUUGCAGAUUACACGGAAUUGAGCACCCGGGCCAGACUGACACUUUCCGGAGCCUGUCCGAGACGGAACUCGAGCCGAGGAAUCAUAGGUCCAGGUGGUGUCGGAAUUAGUCUAUAGCUCUGCCUGAACUGCUGUCCAAUUGGUUUACAAGUCCGGCUGAAGUGACAGGCCAUCAAAAACUGCACAGUAUGACUGAUUCGGAGACGGCCCUCAACACUCGCCCAGUCGUGUCGAGAGGAUCGGUGUCUUUGCAGAUUACACGGAAUUGAGCACCCGGGCCAGACUGACACUUUCCGGAGCCUGUCCGAGACGGAACUCGAGCCGAGGAAUCAUAGGUCCAGGUGGUGUCGGAAUUAGUCUAUAGCUCUGCCUGAACUGCUGUCCAAUUGGUUUACAAGUCCGGCUGAAGUGACAGGCCAUCAAAAACUGCACAGUAUGACUGAUUCGGAGACGGCCCUCAACACUCGCCCAGUCGUGUCGAGAGGAUCGGUGUCUUUGCAGAUUACACGGAAUUGAGCACCCGGGCCAGACUGACACUUUCCGGAGCCUGUCCGAGACGGAACUCGAGCCGAGGAAUCAUAGGUCCAGGUGUGACAGAAAACUUAAAGCUCAUGUCUGACGAUGACUUUUUUUGCGUCAGGAAGUAAAGUGGUGUCGGAAUUAGUCUAUAGCUCUGCCUGAACUGCUGUCCAAUUGGUUUACAAGUCCGGCUGAAGUGACAGGCCAUCAAAAACUGCACAGUAUGACUGAUUCGGAGACGGCCCUCAACACUCGCCCAGUCGUGUCGAGAGGAUCGGUGUCUUUGCAGAUUACACGGAAUUGAGCACCCGGGCCAGACUGACACUUUCCGGAGCCUGUCCGAGACGGAACUCGAGCCGAGGAAUCAUAGGUCCAGGUGUGACAGAAAACUUAAAGCUCAUGUCUGACGAUGACUUUUUUUGCGUCAGGAAGUAAAGUGUGUUGUUUUCCCAUGCGAGCAAGCCCUUUUGUUGGGUCAAAUGACAUCAGAAAUGCUGCUUCUACAUGGAUUUUACCUAAAAUGUGCCAAAAAAUAUAUAAAAAGUUUGUUCGGAUCUUGUUCAAAACCUGCUAUGAUGCACAUAUAAUGCCAUUGAUGAUUUGUUUUCACUUAUUAAGUCAUAUGUUACAUCUGCUAUGCUAUUAGAAUCGAAAGUGAUGCCUUGUAUGGAGUCUAAGUGCUGUCUGUAUGAUGUAACCAAGGUCGGCUUUUCUACCUUAAUUCUUGACGCGAAACGCUGUUACGCGUGACGCUUUCAACGUCAACUUUAAUGAAUAAAUCUGUGUGUCAUGGUA